rnacentral:rRNA from 1 species
UACGUACCGUCCAAACGUUAUUCGGAAUUACUGGGCUUAAAGGGUACGUAGGCGGCGCUGUCAGUCGGGUGUGAAAUCCCUCGGCUCAACCGAGGAACUGCGCCCGAUACUGCAGUGCUUGAGGGAGACAGAGGUAAGCGGAACUGAUGGUGGAGCGGUGAAAUGCGUUGAUAUCAUCAGGAACACCAGUGGCGAAAGCGGCUUACUGGGUCUCUUCUGACGCUGAGGUACGAAAGCUAGGGGAGCGAAGGGGAUUAGAUACCCCCGUAGUCCUAGCUGUAAACGUUGAGCACUUGAUCGAGGGUCCCCCCAUAGGCUCUCGGUCGUAGCGAAAGUGUUAAGUGCUCCGCCUGGGGAGUAUGGUCGCAAGGCUG